AGAAAUUGACUUUAGAAAGAAAGGGAUCUAGUGAGAAAAUCCGAAAUGGGUCGGAUAUGUGAUUGGUAAUUAAAAACCCAUGUUUUGUUACAUAUGAAAAUGUUGGGUUAUAUAGGUCGAACGGGUCAAAUGGUGGGAACAACGCCAUUUGACAAUAUCAACUAAUGUGGUUGUCAAGUCAUGUGUUUUCAGGGGCGAAUAGUAAUUUGGGUAAUUGCGUCGCCAUAAGAAUAUCGAUAAUGAAAGCAAGGAGUCGAAACGGAUCAUUAGGUUGACUCGAGCCAGGUGAAUGUCGAGAGUCCCGGAUGAAGAUCAAGCAUCGAACAAGAACCGAACACACGUUAAACAAAGCUUCCGCAACGUUAUUUUGUCGUUAUUCUAAACGGCGAAUUAAAUCACAUUAUGUAUAUCACUUAAAUUGUAAAAGUUUUUAACAACCCGUAUUUCUAAUGUAUAUGUAAUUAUUAAUUACAUGAUUAUUUCGCUAAAUAUACGUUAAACCUUGAUUUA